GCUUCUCUCGGCACAGCACAAGAGGAGAUCUCCACAACAAACACCUUAUUUCAGACAACCAAAGACGACAACCAGGAGUACUCCAAGCCAUAACAACAACAGCUAAGCCCUUUCAAUUCAUAUUCUUCUGAUCCUAUCCUCAUCUAUACAUACAUCCGUCUACACAGCAGCUUAAUACAACACCAUCAUCAAUCCACGUGGCACG
rnacentral:lncRNA from 1 species